UACGUAGGGUGCGAGCGUUGUCCGGAAUUAUUGGGCGUAAAGCGUGCGCAGGCGGUUUUGUAAGCCAGAUGUGAAAUCCCCGGGCUUAACCUGGGAAUGGCAUUUGGGACUGCAAGGCUUGAGUGCGGCAGAGGAGACUGGAAUUCCUGGUGUAGCAGUGAAAUGCGUAGAUAUCAGGAGGAACACCGAUGGCGAAGGCAGGUCUCUGGGCUGACACUGACGCUCAUGCACGAAAGCGUGGGGAGCAAACAGG
rnacentral:rRNA from 1 species